CUACGUGCCAGCAGCCGCGGUAAUACGGAAGGUCCAGGCGUUAUCCGGAUUUAUUGGGUUUAAAGGGAGUGUAGGCGGUUUGUUAAGCGUGUUGUGAAAUUUAGAUGCUCAACAUUUAACUUGCAGCGCGAACUGUCAGACUUGAGUACACGCAACGUAUGCGGAAUUCAUGGUGUAGCGGUGAAAUGCUUAGAUAUCAUGAAGAACUCCGAUUGCGAAGGCAGCAUACGGGAGUGUAACUGACGCUUAAGCUCGAAGGUGCGGGUAUCGAACAGGAUUAGAUACCCUGGUAGUCCGCACAGUAAACGAUGGAUGCCCGCUGUUAGCGCCUGGCGUUAGCGGCUAAGCGAAAGCAUUAAGCAUCCCACCUGGGGAGUACGCCGGCAACGGUGAAACUCAAAGGAAUUGACGGGGGCCCGCACAAGCGGAGGAACAUGUGGUUUAAUUCGAUGAUACGCGAGGAACCUUACCCGGGCUUGAA
rnacentral:rRNA from 1 species